rnacentral:rRNA from 1 species
AGCAUAUCAAUAAGCGGAGGAAAAGAAACCAACAGGGAUUGCCCUAGUAACGGCGAGUGAAGCGGCAACAGCUCAAAUUUGAAAUCUGGCUUCGGCCCGAGUUGUAAUUUGUAGAGGAAGCUUCUGGCGCGGUGCCAUCCGAGUCUCCUGGAACGGGGCGCCAUAGAGGGUGAGAGCCCCGUAUGGAUGGAUGCCUAGCCUGUGUGAAGCUCCUUCGACGAGUCGAGUAGUUUGGGAAUGCUGCUCAAAAUGGGAGGUAAAUUCCUUCUAAAGCUAAAUAUUGGCCAGAGACCGAUAGCGCACAAGUAGAGUGAUCGAAAGAUGAAAAGCACUUUGAAAAGAGGGUUAAACAGCACGUGAAAUUGUUGAAAGGGAAGCGCUUGUGACCAGACUUGCGCCAGGCUGAUCAUCCGGUGUUCUCACCGGUGCACUCUGCCUGGCACAGGCCAGCAUCAGUUUUGGCGGGGGGAUAAAGGGCGCAGGAACGUAGCUCCUCCGGGAGUGUUAUAGCCUGUGUCGUAAUGCCCUCGCCGGGACUGAGGACCGCGCAUCUGCAAGGAUGCUGGCGUAAUGGUCAUCAGCGACCCGUCUUGAAACACGGACCAAGGAGUCAAGGUUUUGCGCGAGUGUUUGGGUAUAAAACCCGCACGCGUAAUGAAAGUGAACGUAGGUGAGAGCUUCGGCGCAUCAUCGACCGAUCCUGAUGUAUUCGGAUGGAUUUGAGUAAGAGCGUUAAGCCUUGGACCCGAAAGAUGGUGAACUAUGCUUGGAUAGGGUGAAGCCAGAGGAAACUCUGGUGGAGGCUCGCAGCGGUUCUGACGUGCAAAUCGAUCGUCAAAUCUGAGCAUGGGGGCGAAAGACUAAUCGAACCAUCUAGUAGCUGGUUACCGCCG